rnacentral:rRNA from 1 species
GAGAAGUCUGCUAAGCCACCCCUUAGGAAGCGGAUGGACUAGCUCGACGCGGUCUUUUCCUGCCCAUUCUGCAAUCAUGGGAGCAGCAUUGAAUGCCGGAUUCAUAUGCACAACCUGAGUGGUGAGGUUACUUGUCAAAUCUGCCAGGAAAGCUUCAGCACCACUGCAAAUGGUACAUAG